rnacentral:rRNA from 1 species
CCUACGGGAGGCAGCAGUGAGGAAUAUUGGUCAAUGGGCGUAAGCCUGAACCAGCCAAGUCGCGUGAAGGAUGACGGCCCUAUGGGUUGUAAACUUCUUUUGUCAGGGAGCAAUGGGGGCCACGCGUAGGCUUAGCGAGAGUACCUGAAGAAAAAGCAUCGGCUAACUCCGUGCCAGCAGCCGCGGUAAUACGGAGGAUGCGAGCGUUAUCCGGAUUUAUUGGGUUUAAAGGGUGCGUAGGCGGAAUGUCAAGUCAGCGGUAAAAUCUCGGGGCUCAACCCCGUCGUGCCGUUGAAACUGGUGUUCUUGAGUGGGCGAGAAGUAUGCGGAAUGCGUGGUGUAGCGGUGAAAUGCAUAGAUAUCACGCAGAACUCCGAUUGCGAAGGCAGCAUACCGGCGCCCAACUGACGCUGAAGCACGAAAGCGUGGGUAUCGAACAGGAUUAGAUACCCGGGUAGUC